rnacentral:lncRNA from 1 species
GUCACGGGACCCCUAACCAGCUGUGGGCUCUGGGAAAUAAACAUCCCUCAAAUUUCUGCAAUCAGCUGCCUUCCUUCCACACAGGCACGGGAUAUUCCCAAUACUGACUAGGAAAACAGAGGGAAUUCUCGAGGACCGAUCAAACAUCGAUGUCCCAGAUGCAGAAUGCCCACUGACUGAUGGACAACGAGGAGCUUUAUACACACACACACACACACAGAGUACCUUCAGGUUCAUCACUAUCCAGGCUUUCACCAGACAGAUCAUCAUCUAAACCACGGCACAAGAUUUGACCUGUUCAGUCAAGACCUUUUGUGUAAUUGUGGUGAUUAAUAAAAUUAAUCAUAUUUUAUUUCUAUGUUUGUAU